CAGCAGCCACGGGAAUACGUAGGUGGCAAGCGUUGUCCGGAAUUAUUGGGCGUAAAGGGCUCGCAGGCGGUUUCUUAAGCCUGAUGUGAAAGCCCCCGGCUCAACCGGGGAGGGUCAUUGGAAACUGGGAAACUUGAGUGCAGAAGAGGAGAGUGGAAUUCCACGUGUAGCGGUGAAAUGCGUAGAGAUGUGGAGGAACACCAGUGGCGAAGGCGACUCUCUGGUCUGUAACUGACGCUGAGGAGCGAAAGCGUGGGGAGCGAACAGGAUUAGAUACCCCAGUAGUCCCUGUCUCUUAUAC
rnacentral:rRNA from 1 species